GAUGAACGCUGGCUACAGGCUUAACACAUGCAAGUCGAGGGGAAACGACGGGGAAGCUUGCUUCCCCGGGCGUCGACCGGCGCACGGGUGAGUAACGCGUAUCCAACCUGCCUCUGACUGAGGGAUAACCCGUCGAAAGUCGGCCUAAUACCUCAUGGCAUCGUCUGCGGGCAUCCAACGACGAUUAAAGAUUUCAUCGGUCAGGGAUGGGGAUGCGUCUGAUUAGCUGGUUGGCGGGGUAACGGCCCACCAAGGCGACGAUCAGUAGGGGUUCUGAGAGGAAGGUCCCCCACAUUGGAACUGAGACACGGUCCAAACUCCUACGGGAGGCAGCAGUGAGGAAUAUUGGUCAAUGGGCGGGAGCCUGAACCAGCCAAGUAGCGUGCAGGAUGACGGCCCUAUGGGUUGUAAACUGCUUUUAUGCGGGGAUAAAGUGAGGGACGUGUCCUUCAUUGCAGGUACCGCGUGAAUAAGGACCGGCUAAUUCCGUGCCAGCAGCCGCGGUAAUACGGAAGGUCCGGGCGUUAUCCGGAUUUAUUGGGUUUAAAGGGAGCGUAGGCCGUGGAUUAAGCGUGUUGUGAAAUGCAGGUGCUCAACGUCUGCACUGCAGCGCGAACUGGUCCACUUGAGUGUGCGCAACGCAGGCGGAAUUCGUCGUGUAGCGGUGAAAUGCUUAGAUAUGACGAAGAACUCCGAUUGCGAAGGCAGCUUGCGGGAGCACAACUGACGCUGAAGCUCGAAAGUGCGGGUAUCGAACAGG
rnacentral:rRNA from 1 species